UCCCUGUGGACUAGUGGCUAGCAUACGGCACUCUCAUCGCCACGGUCCGGGUUCGAUUCCCAGUCAGGGAA